AUUCUGUCCCAUGUGUGACAGUCCACUUGUUUGAGCAUUAUCUAGAGUUCCACAACUCCGAAUGAGGCGAAAUCUGAACCUAUAGAAACUUUGAUCCAUCCUCUAAAACUAUUUAUUUUGUGGAAGGCCUAAUUCUGUUGUUUUGGAAGUAAAAUUGAGUAUUAUAUUUUCAUGGUCAAUCUGACCUGACAGAUUGACGUAUCUAUAAUGUUUUAUUUAGUCCUCCUUGUUCACUUUUCCAAAUGGCACAAGACCAAUUAGAAAUGAAACUAGACUUAAUGUCCUUGUGAUGUGGAAAAAGUGGUACCAGUAAUGCUUCCUAAAAUUUUUUGAGACAAUUUUGAGUAGAGCCUCAGAAAUCUGUCAUAGAUGACAGUUUGUUGAUUAUGUGUAAAUCGUAGUUUUAGAUGAUUAAUUGCUUGAGAAAAUCUUUUUUUUUAUGCCAUGUGAUUAGCAUGUGAUAUAUUUGUUGAUACAUUGCUGGUGGGAGCUUUGGUUUUGCAAUUAAAGGUUGAUUUUAAUAUUUGUUUGCUUAUGCCUUGAAUUUUGUACUAAGUUUUUUCUUGACAGUCAAAUUUGAAAAUUAAUAUGCCGAAUUCUACUACAAAUGAAUAGUUGAUUUUUGGGUAUGUUGUUUCCCGUCUGUAUAGUGUAUGGAUAUAAAAUGGCAUUUUGAUCCAAUUGGUCGGAUCUUGACUUAUGGCUAUUUUUCUAGGGACUACCCGGAGAGUAUUUUCUAAACUAGAAUUAGGGAUCUUCCUUGUUUCUUUGGAUUGCUUUCUAGUUUGGAAAAUUGCAAUUACCCCUUAAUUCAAUGAAUACUUGACAGGCUUUAAUACAAGAAUUUAUGGGAUUUAAGCCCUUAGUUUAAGUUGAAAAUGGUGUCUGAUUCAGUCUGAUAUAAUAUGAUUAGAUCUUUUAUUAUUGCACUGGUUUUGAUAUCAAUUUCAUGAUACUUUAUUUAAAACUUGCCAUCAACAUAGAGGAAAGUGUUUUUUAGAACUUCUUAUGUUAAGACUGAUUUCUAGGUUGUGUCACUUAUCUUCAUAAUCUCUUUAUACUGUUCACAUCUUAAAAUUUUUCCCACUGAUUUUAUAAUUAUAGUGCAUUCUUUUGAU
rnacentral:lncRNA from 1 species